AAUCGCCCGCUUCAUGGAGGUCAAGGCCGUCAUGACUGAGCUAUCUUUCAAUCUGGUCGUGCCGCUGGCCCACAAGGCCACCGCCAUGCGCGUUACGGAAACCGACCGCCGGUGUGCGGCGCGGUCCGGCGCAGUUUCCCGACUGAGUAAUCGGACGGGCGACGUAGAUAGCACGAUGCAUCC
rnacentral:ncRNA from 1 species